rnacentral:rRNA from 1 species
UACGGAGGAUCCAAGCGUUAUCCGGAAUGAUUGGGCGUAAAGCGUCCGCAGGUGGCAGUUCAAGUCUGCUGUCAAAGACCGGGGCUUAACUUCGGAAAGGCAGUGGAAACUGAACAGCUAGAGUAUGGUAGGGGCAGAGGGAAUUCCUGGUGUAGCGGUGAAAUGCGUAGAGAUCAGGAAGAACAUCGGUGGCGAAGGCGCUCUGCUGGACCAUAACUGACACUCAGGGACGAAAGCUAGGGGAGCGAAUGGG